rnacentral:sRNA from 1 species
CACGACAGUAAGCACGACGACACGUCAC